GACGAAUGCUGGCUGCGUGCUUAACACAUGCAAGUCGAACGGUGAAGGAGGGCUUGCCCUCCGGAUCAGUGGCGAACGGGUGAGUAACACGUGGGCAACCUGCCCCUCACUCUGGGAUAACGCCGGGAAACCGGCGCUAAUACCGGAAACAACCAGGCGCGACAUCUCGCCUGGUGGAAAGAAUUUCGGUGAGGGAUGGGCCCGCGGCCGAUCAGCUAGUUGGUGGGGUAACGGCCCACCAAGGCGACGACGGGUAGCCGGCCUGAGAGGGCGACCGGCCACACUGGGACUGAGACACGGCCCAGACUCCUACGGGAGGCAGCAGUGGGGAAUAUUGCGCAAUGGGCGAAAGCCUGACGCAGCGACGCAGCGUGAGGGACGAAGGCCUUCGGGUUGUAAGCCUCUUUCAGCGGGGACGAAGCGAAAGUGACGGUACCCGCAGAAGAAGCACCGGCUAACUACGUGCCAGCAGCCGCAGUAAGAC
rnacentral:rRNA from 1 species